rnacentral:rRNA from 1 species
AAAUUGAAGAGUUUGAUCAUGGCUCAGAUUGAACGCUGGCGGCAGGCCUAACACAUGCAAGUCGAACGGUAACAGAAAUCAGCUUGCUGAUUUGCUGACGAGUGGCGGACGGGUGAGUAAUGUCUGGGAAACUGCCUGAUGGAGGGGGAUAACUACUGGAAACGGUAGCUAAUACCGCAUAACGUCGCAAGACCAAAGAGGGGGACCUUCGGGCCUC